rnacentral:misc_RNA from 1 species
UCGCGGCUUAUCACCGGCAGUCCCCCUAGAGUGCCCAACUGAAUGAUGGCAACUGGGAGCGGGGGUUGCGCUCGUUGCGGGACUUAACCCAACAUCUCACGACACGAGCUGACGACAGCCAUGCAGCACCUGUGCACGGGCUCCGAAGAGGGCUCCUGGUUUCUCAGGAGUUUCCCGUGUAUGUCAAGCCUAGGUAAGGUUCUUCGCGUUGCGUCGAAUUAAACCACAUGCUCCGCUGCUUGUGCGGGCCCCCGUCAAUUCCUUUGAGUUUCAGCCUUGCGGCCGUACUCCCCAGGCGGGGCACUUAAUGCGUUAGCGCCGGCACCCAGGGGGUCGCUCCCCCAGGCACCUAGUGCCCAUCGUUUACGGCGUGGACUAC